rnacentral:rRNA from 1 species
UACGUAGGGGGCAAGCGUUGUCCGGAAUCAUUGGGCGUAAAGCGCGCGUAGGUGGCCCAGUAAGUCCGUUGUGAAAGUCAAAGGCUCAACCUUUGAAAGCCGAUGGAUACUGCUGGGCUCGAGUCCGGAAGAGGCGAGUGGAAUUCCUGGUGUAGCGGUGGAAUGCGCAGAUAUCAGGAGGAACACCGAUGGCGAAGGCAGCUCGCUGGGACGGUACUGACGC